rnacentral:rRNA from 1 species
UACGUAGGGUGCAAGCGUUGUCCGGAUUUAUUGGGUUUAAAGGGUGCGUAGGUGGUUAAUUAAGUCAGUGGUGAAAAUGGGUUGCUCAACAACCGAACUGCCAUUGAUACUGGUUGACUUGAGAUAGGUUGAGGUUGGUGGAAUGGAUGGUGUAGCGGUGAAAUGCAUAGAUAUCAUCCAGAACGUCAAUUGCGAAGGCAGCUGACUGGGCCUAAUCUGACACUGAGGCACGAGAGCGUGGGGAUCAAACAGG